rnacentral:lncRNA from 1 species
UUUUGCUACAGGACACGGACUUUUGGCUAGAGAAUAGGAGGAACUUCCCAAUAGCAAGAGCUGCUCUGUCACAGAACUCAGUGCCUGGGGUUGGGAGAGUAUUCUUUGACUGGAGCUGCUUACAAAGAUAUUGGGGGAAAACGGCGACAGCAACUUCCCAGUCAAGUGACCGGGUUCCAGCUGCUUUUCUCUCCUAGAAGUGGAAAAAGCAAUGAAGGUUCUUUCAUUUGGCUGAGAUCAUCUGAGGAGGAAUUCUUGGAGAGAAGCACUGCUAAUCACAUGCUGAGGUUGCUCAUGGUUGCUCACACUAUGGUUGACCUUAGCAGGCUACAGCCCGUCUAGUCCAGCAUCCCUUCUCACACAGUGGCCCAUCAAUUGCUUCUGGGCAUCUCAAGCAGAAGACAAAGGCAAACCCUUCACCUACUCUUGCCUCCCUAUAGAGACCUCCUAACAACNUAAGUGGAGUCCUGCUAGAUCAGGAGGCGGUACCUAAGCAUCCAUUCUAGUAGCCAUCAAUACACCUGCCUCCAUGAAUUUGUCUGCAAGGACAUAAGAGCAGCCCUGUUGGAUCAGGUUACAGCUCAUCCAGUCCAGCAUCCUGUCU